UUCGACCUUCUAAAGUUAUAGUGGCGUUUUCGUUAUUUCUGGUAAAGCCCAGCUACAAAAGCAAGCCACCAUUCCUCUCACUCAGAGGCUUUUCGGGCAAAAGGUCUCUCAAUGAGUCUAAGCAAGUCUCCCAAAACCCUCGUUUCUCUCAAUUUCUACUCAGAAAUUGCCAUUUCUUUCUUCAGUUCCAACCAUUUCGUCGAUUGAUGGCGAAAGGAACUUCGAAAUUCUCAUUUCUUAGACGUGCAGACUGAAGUAGAGGAGGAGUUAAAAGAGAGGGAGGAUUGCAAUGGAGAUUAUAAGCAGUAAUCCAAGAGCUCCUGAUUUGCAUAAAGUUGUUGAGAAGGAUGAGGAGUUGCUGUUGCUGCUGAUGGCCAUUUGCCUUAGUGAUGGUCUUGCAAUGAGGGUUGCAGAUGGGAAAAAG